rnacentral:rRNA from 1 species
GACGAACGCUGGCGGCGUGCUUAACACAUGCACGUCGAGCGGAGCGGCGAACGGGUGAGUAACGCGUGAGUAACUGCCCCCCUCUCUGGGAUAACAGUUGGAAACGGCUGCUAAUCCCGGAUAGUGGGGGAUGACUCGCGUCAUAUGUGCUUGUUGGUGGGGUAGUGGCUUACCAAGGCGAAGACGGGUCGCCGGCCUGGGAGGGUGACCGGCCACAAUGUGCUGGGGUACGGCCCAAAGGCCUACGGGAGGCAGUGGUGGAGAAUAUUGCACAAGAGGGGGAACGCUGGUGCAGCAACGCCGGGUGCGGAAGGACGGUUUUCGGGGUGUAAACCGCUUUCAGCGAUGACGCGGUAGUGGAAGAAGAAGCAACGGCUAACUACGUGCCAGCAGCCGCGGUAAUUC